rfam:Danio rerio chromosome 4, GRCz11 reference primary assembly.
UAGCUCAGUCGAUAGAGCAUGAGACUCUUAAUCUCAGCGUCGUGGGUUAGAGCCCCGC